UACGUAGGCAGCAAGCGUUGUUCGGAAUUACUGGGCGUAAAGAGUGUGUAGGCGGUGCUCUAAGCUCGGUGUGAAAUCCCCCGGCUCAACCGGGGAAUUGCGCCCUAAACUGGCGAGCUGGAGUGAGAUAGGGGUGUGUGGAACUUCCAGUGGAGCGGUGAAAUGUGUUGAUAUUGGAAGGAACGCCAGUGGCGAAAGCGACACACUGGGUCUCAACUGACGCUGAGGCACAAAAGCCAGGGGAGCAAACGGG
rnacentral:rRNA from 1 species